UGCCCCUGAACUAGACAGACUGGAACAACCUCCGUGAUUUACAAGAAAUCACCCGACUGUCUAGAAAUGGAAAACCUUCAAACUAAGGCUGACCUAUCACUUCAUGAAGUACAACUUGGCCCCACAUCACUUUAAAACAUCAGCUGUCAAUCCUCCCGCAGACAUACAACUCCAGAUACCCAACUCAACAGGCAGUAUACAUCAAUGAUGUCGCUCUUGCUGCUGGUGAUUCUCUGAUCCACCUCUACGCAGACGACACCAUUCUGUAUACUUCUGGCCUGAUGCUGAAUGAAGAGCUCUUCACUAGAUACCAACACACUCAAAGGCGAUUUUCUGAAAACCGCCGGAAAACGUGUGGCGAGACCCCAUUUGCUCCAGUACUUUUUGAUCUGCUGCAGCGCUGCUACACCACUUUCAGAGCAGCAGCACCAACCAAGACACUUCUCAGCACAUUUUUGCAUUCCAGUUCAACAUUUACCUGCUCUGUUGCAGUCUAUCGUUCUACUUCUGUGGGUUUUAUGGCGGACUACAACCCCAAAAUGUGUGUUCCCGCCACCAACUUGAUGGGGUUGAAAAAACAAGUACAUGUUCAAAGGUGGAAGAGACCCUCCAGAGUUGCUGCAGUGUGUGUUCUACUGGCUGUGAUCAUAGGCCUGUGGGAUUCCUAUGCAACUGCAGAGAGAGACCAGCUACAAAAAAGUCUAAAUACCUCAACCAGAGAGAGAGACCAGCUACAGAAUAGUCUGAAUACCAUGACCACAGAGAGAGACCAGCUACAGAAUAGUCUGAAUACCAUGACCACAGAGAGAGACCAGCUACAGAAUAGGCUAAAUACCAUGACCACAGAGAGAGACCAGCUACGUAAUAGUCUAUUUUCCACGAACACAAAGAAAGACCAGCCACAAAAUAGUCUAAUUUCCACAACCACAGAGAGAGACCAGCUACAGAAUAGUCUGAAAACCAUG